rnacentral:rRNA from 1 species
AAGAGACAGCAGCAGCCACGGUAAUACGUAGGGUGCAAGCGUUAAUCGGAAUUACUGGGCGUAAAGCGUGCGCAGGCGGUUAUAUAAGACAGAUGUGAAAUCCCCGGGCUCAACCUGGGAACUGCAUUUGUGACUGUAUAGCUAGAGUACGGCAGAGGGGGAUGGAAUUCCGCGUGUAGCAGUGAAAUGCGUAGAUAUGCGGAGGAACACCGAUGGCGAAGGCAAUCCCCUGGGCCUGUACUGACGCUCAUGCACGAAAGCGUGGGGAGCAAACAGGAUUAGAUACCCCAGUAGUCCCUGUCUCUUAUAU